rfam:Schistosoma curassoni strain Dakar, Senegal genome assembly, scaffold: SCTD_scaffold0006533
AUCCAGCUGACGCGUUCCAAACAGGACGAAACGCGCGUCCUGGAU